ensembl:lncRNA
CCUCUCCUUCCCUCCCUCUCUCCCUUUCUACUGUACUAUUGACUGUAUGUUUGUUUAUUCCAUGUGUAACUCUGUGUUGUUUGUGUCGCACUGCUUUGCUUUAUCUUGGCCAGGUCGCAGUUGUAAAUGAGAACUUGGUUCUCAACUGGCCUACCUGGUUAAAUAAAGGUGUUCUCAACUAGCCUACCUGGUUAAAUAAAGGUGUUCUCAACUAGCCUCCCUGGUUAAAUAAAGGUGUUCUCAACUAGCCUACCUGGUUAAAUAAAGGUGUUCUCAACUGGCCUACCUGGUUAAAUAAAGGUGUUCUCAACUGGCCUACCUGGUUAAAUAAAGGUGUUCUCAACUGGCCUCCCUGGUUAAAUAAAGGUGUUCUCAACUGGCCUACCUGGUUAAAUAAAGGUGUUCUCAACUGGCCGACCUGGUUAAAUAAAGGUGUUCUCAACUGGCCUACCUGGUUAAAUAAAGGUGUUCUCAACUAGCCUACCUGGUUAAAUAAAGGUGUUCUCAACUGGCCUACCUGGUUAAAUAAAGGUGUUCUCAACUGGCCUACCUGGUUAAAUAAAGGUGUUCUCAACUGGCCUCCCUGGUUAAAUAAAGGUGUUCUCAACUGGC